AGAGUUUGAUCCUGGCUCAGAUUGAACGCUGGCGGCAUGCUUUACACAUGCAAGUCGAACGGUAACAGGUCUUCGGAUGCUGACGAGUGGCGAACGGGUGAGUAAUACAUCGGAACGUGCCUAGUAGUGGGGGAUAACUACUCGAAAGAGUAGCUAAUACCGCAUGAGAUCUACAGAUGAAAGCAGGGGACCUUUGGGCCUUGUGCUACUAGAGCGGCUGAUGGCAGAUUAGGUAGUUGGUGGGGUAAGGCUUACCAAGCCUGCGAUCUGUAGCUGGUCUGAGAGGACGACCAGCCACACUGGGACUGAGACACGGCCCAGACUCCUACGGGAGGCAGCAGUGGGGAAUUUUGGACAAGGGGCGAAAGCCUGAUCCAGCAAUGCCGCGUGCAGGAUGAAGGCCCUCGGGUUGUAAACUGCUUUUGUACGGAACGAAAAGCCUGGGGCUAAUAUCUCCGGGUCAUGACGGUACCGUAAGAAUAAGCACCGGCUAACUACGUGCCAGCAGCCGCGGUAAUACGUAGGGUGCAAGCGUUAAUCGGAAUUACUGGGCGUAAAGCGUGCGCAGGCGGUUUUGUAAGACAGUGGUGAAAUCCCCGGGCUCAACCUGGGAACCGCCAUUGUGACUGCAAGGCUAGAGUGCGGCAGAGGGGGAUGGAAUUCCGCGUGUAGCAGUGAAAUGCGUAGAUAUGCGGAGGAACACCGAUGGCGAAAGGCAAUCCCCUGGGCCUGCACUG
rnacentral:rRNA from 1 species